rnacentral:rRNA from 1 species
UACGGAGGAUCCAAGCGUUACUCGCGAUUUAUUGGGUUUAAAGGGUGCGUAGGUGGCCUGGUAAGUCAGGGGUGAAAGACGGUAGCUUAACUAUCGCAGUGCCUUUGAUACUGCCGGGCUUGAAUAAACUAGAGGUAGGCGGAAUGUGACAAGUAGCGGUGAAAUGCAUAGAUAUGUCACAGAACACCGAUUGCGAAGGCAGCUUACUAUGGUUUCAUUGACACUGAGGCACGAAAGCGUGGGGAUCAAACAGG